rnacentral:rRNA from 1 species
AUACGGAGGGUGCUAGCGUUAAUCGGAUUCAUUGGGCGUAAAGGGCGUGUAGGCGGGGAUGUCAGUCAGAUGUGAAAUCCCGGGGCUCAACCCCGGAACUGCAUUCGAAACUUCCUGGCUAGAGUCUCGGAGAGGAGAGCGGAAUUCCCGGUGUAGAGGUGAAAUUCGUAGAUAUCUGGAGGAACACCAGCGGCGAAGGCGGCUCUCUGGACGAUGACUGACGCUGAGACGCGAAAGCGUGGGGAGCAAACAGGAUUAGAAACCCGAGUAGUCC